UUACGGCCAUAUAAUGUUGAAAUUCCAGUUCCCAUACAAUCACCAAAGUUAAGCAACAUCAAGUUUGGUCAGUAUCUCAAUGAGUGACCACUUAGGAAUACCAGGUGCUGUAAG